GACGUAGGGCGCGAGCGUUGUCCGGAUUUAUUGGGCGUAAAGAGCUCGUAGGCGGCUUGUCGCGUCGACCGUGAAAACUGGGGGCUCAACCCCAAGCCUGCGGUCGAUACGGGCAGGCUCGAGUUCGGUAGGGGAGACUGGAAUUCCUGGUGUAGCGGUGAAAUGCGCAGAUAUCAGGAGGAACACCGAUGGCGAAGGCAGGUCUCUGGGCCGAUACUGACGCUGAGGAGCGAAAGCGUGGGGAGCGAACAGG
rnacentral:rRNA from 1 species